rnacentral:rRNA from 2 species
ACGCUGGCGGCAGGCCUAACACAUGCAAGUCGAACGGGAUCUUCGGAUCUAGUGGCGGACGGGUUAGUAACGCGUGGGAACGUACCCUUUUCUACGGAAUAGCCUCGGGAAACUGAGAGUAAUACCGUAUACGCCCUUCGGGGGAAAGAUUUAUCGGAGAAGGAUCGGCCCGCGUAAGAUUAGAUAGUUGGUGGGGUAAUGGCCUACCAAGUCUACGAUCUUUAGCUGGUUUGAGAGGAUGAUCAGCAACACUGGGACUGAGACACGGCCCAGACUCCUACGGGAGGCAGCAGUGGGGAAUCUUAGACAAUGGGGGAAACCCUGAUCUAGCCAUGCCGCGUGAGUGACGAAGGCCUUAGGGUCGUAAAGCUCUUUCGCUGGGGAAGAUAAUGACUGUACCCAGUAAAGAAACCCCGGCUAACUCCGUGCCAG